rnacentral:rRNA from 1 species
AGAGUUUGAUCAUGGCUCAGAACGAACGCUGGCGGCGUGCCUAACACAUGCAAGUCGAACGGAGCAGGAGUAGCAAUACUUCUGUUUAGUGGCGCACGGGUGAGUAACACGUAGGCAACCUACCCUUGGGAGGGGGACAACCUCGGGAAACCGAGGCUAAUACCCCAUAAGACCACGGAUUGGAAUAUCUGUGGAAAAAGUGGAAACACGCCUGGGGAUGGGCCUGCGGCCUAUCAGGUAGUUGGCGGGGUAAAGGCCCACCAAGCCUAAGACGGGUAGCCGGUCUGAGAGGAUGAACGGCCACACUGGAACUGAGACACGGUCCAGACUCCUACGGGAGGCAGCAGUGGGGAAUCUUGCGCAAUGGGGGAAACCCUGACGCAGCGACGCCGCGUGGAGGAAGAAGGCCUUCGGGUUGUAAACUCCUUUUGUCGGGGAAAAUAGUGAUGGUACCCGGCGAAUAAGCCACGGCUAACUCUGUGCCAGCAGCCGCGGUAAGACAGAGGUGGCAAGCGUUGUUCGGAAUCACUGGGCUUAAAGGGCGUGUAGGCGGUGGGACAAGUCCGGGGUGGAAUACUAUGGCUCAACCAUAGAAUUGCCUUGGAAACUGUUUCACUUGGGUCAGUGAGAGGAGGGCAGAAUUCCUGGUGUAGCAGUGAAAUGCGUAGAUAUCAGGAGGAAGGCCGGUGGCGAAAGCGGCCCUCUGGCGCUUGACUGACGCUGAGGCGCGAAAGCGUGGGGAGCAAACAGGAUUAGAUACCCUAGUAGUCC